rnacentral:rRNA from 1 species
GCCUACGGGGCGCAGCAGUCGAGAAUCAUUCACAAUGGGGGAAACCCUGAUGGUGCGACGCCGCGUGGGGGAAUGAAGGUCUUCGGAUUGUAAACCCCUGUCAUGUGGGAGCAAAUUAAAAAGAUAGCACCACAAGAGGAAGAGACGGCUAACUCUGUGCCAGCAGCCGCGGUAAUACAGAGGUCUCAAGCGUUGUUCGGAAUCACUGGGCGUAAAGCGUGCGUAGGCUGUUUCGUAAGUCGUGUGUGAAAGGCGCGGGCUCAACCCGCGGACGGCACAUGAUACUACGAGACUAGAGUAAUGGG